GCCUGCCCCGUGAUUUAAUUUAACGGCCGCGGUAUCUUAACCGUGCAAAGGUAGCAUAAUCAAUUGUCCUUUAAAUUGGGACUAGUAUGAACGGCAUCACGAGGGUUUAACUGUCUCCCCCCUUUAAUCAAUGAAACUAAUCUUCCCGUGAAGAACGGGAAUAUAACUAUAAGACGAGAAGACCCCAUGGAGCUUUAAACUUAAUACCACUUAUUUAAUAAUAAAACACACCAUAUGAUAAGAAUGCUUUUAUAGUUUUUGGUUGGGGCGACCCUGGAGAACAACAAACCCUCCAGAUUGAAAUGAAUAAUAAACCUUAUACAAGAACCACAGUUCAAAUAAACAAAAAUUUGACAAUACUGACCCAGAAUAGACUGACCAGUGAACCAAGUUACCCUGGGGAUAACAGCGCAAUCCAUUUUAAGAGCUCUUAUCGACAAAUGGGUUUACGACCUCGAUGUUGGAUCAGGGUAUCCAAGCAGCGCAGCAGUUGCUGGUGGUUCGUUUGUUCAACGAUUAAAACCC
rnacentral:rRNA from 1 species